AGCGAACGCUGGCGGCAGGCCUAACACAUGCAAGUCGAACGGACCCUUCGGGGUUAGUGGCGGACGGGUGAGUAACACGUGGGAACGUGCCCUUUGGUUCGGAAUAGCUCCUGGAAACGGGUGGUAAUGCCGAAUGUGCCCUUCGGGGGAAAGAUUUAUCGCCAUUGGAGCGGCCCGCGUCUGAUUAGCUAGUUGGUGAGGUAAAGGCUCACCAAGGCGACGAUCAGUAGCUGGUCUGAGAGGAUGAUCAGCCACAUUGGGACUGAGACACGGCCCAAACUCCUACGGGAGGCAGCAGUGGGGAAUCUUGCGCAAUGGGCGAAAGCCUGACGCAGCCAUGCCGCGUGAAUGAUGAAGGUCUUAGGAUUGUAAAAUUCUUUCACCGGGGACGAUAAUGACGGUACCCGGAGAAGAAGCCCCGGCUAACUUCGUGCCAGCCGCCGCGGUAA
rnacentral:rRNA from 1 species